rnacentral:sRNA from 1 species
AAAGUUGCUGUGUCAUUGCCCUCCCUGCUGCAGCCACCCAAACGGGGCCGCUUGUACUUGGGGGCCAGGGCCUGAUCCCUGGCUGGGGGAAGGGGACUCUGCUCUCUCGAUGCUCAUUUCUCCCCGCCCUCCCGGGGUUUGCCCUACUCGGGGGGUCAGAAGACAGGAGAUUGGCGGCCAUUUUAGACGCAGUAACCGAGAGUCUGCACCCUUAUUUAGAUAACCAAGUUAAGAGGAAGACUUAAGAGUAAGUUGGGGGGAGGGGGCGAAACUGAGCUCCCAAAAUGGCUCCUGCCCCUCCUCGGAGGCGGACGGCCGGGGGGAGGGGAGGAGGGG